UAGGGAAUCUUCGGCAAUGGACGAAAGUCUGACCGAGCAACGCCGCGUGAGUGAAGAAGGUUUUCGGAUCGUAAAACUCUGUUGUUAGAGAAGAACAAGGACGUUAGUAACUGAACGUCCCCUGACGGUAUCUAACCAGAAAGCCACGGCUAACUACGUGCCAGCAGCCGCGGUAAUACGUAGGUGGCAAGCGUUGUCCGGAUUUAUUGGGCGUAAAGCGAGCGCAGGCGGUUUCUUAAGUCUGAUGUGAAAGCCCCCGGCUCAACCGGGGAGGGUCAUUGGAAACUGGGAGACUUGAGUGCAGAAGAGGAGAGUGGAAUUCCAUGUGUAGCGGUGAAAUGCGUAGAGAUAUGGAGGAACACCAGUGGCGAAGGCGGCUCUCUGGUCUGUAACUGACGCUGAGGCUCGAAAGCGUGGGGAGCAAACAGG
rnacentral:rRNA from 2 species